rnacentral:lncRNA from 1 species
UUUUUUUUUUUCCCUCCUCUAAUUUUCAACUUGGUUUUCCCUUUUCUGUUUAAAUUGGAUCAUUGUGCUUGAGUGGGGGACUGCGAGUGUGUCCCUGGGGAGUGGGUGUUCUGUAUCCCUGGGAGUGGGUGCCCUUACAAACAGGUGUGUGUUGACGUGUGGUCUUCCUCAAGGGUGGAAGUGAGAGUGUGUGGCCGGGUGUGCACACGUCUCUGUGGGCUUAGCUGUGUAAGGGGCGGGGGGUUCCCAUUCUGCAUAUCUGUGGGCACAUGCAUGUGCAAACGUGUGCAUGUGUGGGUGUCUUCAAGACUGCCAGCCAUGUGUGCACUGUGUAUUUGCAUGUAUAACUGCAGGUGUACAUAUAGGGGUGUGUGUGUGUGUGUGUGUGUGUACUGAUGAGGUGUAUGUGGGUGUGUGUCGACAUGUCACUGUAUCUAAUAGUCACGUGUAUAUAGGUGAGUGUGUGUCUGUAUAGCUGCAGGUGUAUGUGUCAGUGGGUGUCUAAGCAUAUAUACAGGUGUAGGCAUCAGUGUAUGUGGGUGUAUCUUUCUCUCUCUGCAGCCAUGUGAAUGGGGAUGUGUCCGUAUGUCUGUCCACGUAUCCAUGUGGAUCUCUGUUCAUACCCACACAUGUGCACAUCCAUACAUAUGUACCUACGCGUCUUCCCAUGUAUGCAUGUCUUUGGGUCUGUACACAUGCAUAAGAGGCAGAAUUGCCAGAGUUCCCACUGUGGCGCAGCAGGACCAGCUGAGUCUCUGGAGCGCUAGGGCGCAGGUUCCAUCUCUGGCUCCCUCCUCACAGUGAGUUAAGAAUCUACUGUUGCUGGGAGUUCCCGUCGUGGCGCAUGUGGGCUGGGUACAUGAGAAGCUCUGCCUUUGGGACCAGAUAUAGCAUGACAAGAAACAAAAGAUAAGUGCAGUAAGUUUCUUCUUUAACGCAACAGGAAACACCAAAGGUAAUAGGAUCUGACAUUGAGAGAUUCAUUAACAGAGGGAUUCAUCAAUAGAGGUAUAAACCAAGGAGGUGACAGUCUAGCUCUACACAGCCCUUGCUCCACCUGCAACAUGGAUUCCACACUUCAAGAGGGGCUUGGCCAGAUCCAAGGAUGCUGAGGAUUCAACCAUUUAUGGUGAGAGAAGAGAAAAUAUUAUCAGAGAGGAUCAAAUAGCAGAGAUUGGUUGGAAAGAGUUUAACCAGCGGAAGACUGAGGGGACGAGAUCUGGAUUUUAGCUGCCUUUGUUUGGGGGAAUUAUCCAGUUAGCUGUUUUGCUUUAAGCUCUGAUGUACACAAGCCAGGCUCUGUGCUUUGUGCCUGCACCUUUGCAUUUAAUCCUCCUAACAAGCUGCAUUAGUCAGGGUCCUCCAGAGAAACAGAAUCAAUAAGAUACGUACAUACACAUUGGUUUAUUAGGAGGAACUGGCUCACGUGACUAUGGAGGCCGAGAAGCCCCGGAUCUGCUGCCCACAAGCUGGAACCAGUGGUGUGAUUCAAUCUGAGUCUGAAGGUUUGAGAAACAGGGGAGUCAACAGUGUCAACUCGAUCCAAGGUCAGGAGAAACUGAGGUACCAUGUCCCAGGUGAGACCGUGAAGCAGGCAAAAAGGGGAACCGUCUCCUUCCUUGGCCUCCAUUCCACUCAGGCCCUCAGUGGGUUGAAUGCUGCCCCCUGACACGGGGGAGAGCCAGGUAUUUUACAAAGCCCACCAGGUCAAGUGCACAUCUAUCUCACCCAGAGACACCCCCAGAAAUCACGUCUUCAUCCGGGCACUCCACGGCCAGUCAAGGUGACGCGUAAAAUGAACCAUCACUCAAGUCCAGGACCUUAGAACUUUGUGAUCCUCCUUUUAAGGGUGGGGGAGCUGGGGUGUUUAUCCAUCAUGUGUCUGCCAUCGAUUGAGGGCUGCUUCUGGGCACAUUAAGGCUCUGGUACUUUGGGGUCCCCUUACACCCCGAACACAUCCCCGAGGCCAGAAAAGUGCCCACAGGCAGUGUCAGGUGUUUGCAGAAAAGUAGCCUUUGCCUACUAAGGUGAAUCUCCUUUUUUUUGUCUUUUCUAGGGCCACACCUGCAGCAUGUGGAGGCUCCCAAGCUAGGGGUCUAAUCAGAGCUGUAGCCACCGGCCUACCCCACAGCUACAGCAACACCAGAUCCUUAACCCACUGAGCGAGGCCAAGGAUCGAACCCACAACCUCAUGGUUCUUAGUUGGAUUUGUUAACUGCUGAGCCAUGACAGGAACUCAUGAACUGAGGUGAAUCUUAUGAAGAGGUUGUGGACGGGAGUUCCCUGGUGGCUCAGAGGGUUAUGGAUCUGGCAUUGUCACUGCUAUGGUGCACAUUUGAUCCCUGGCCCUGUAACUUCCAGGUGCCACAGGUUCGGCCAAAAUCAAACAAACAAACCAGAGUAUAUAGGUGAGGCAGCAAUAAUGUCCACUGCACAAAGGAAGUGGUUUGUGACUUAAUAUCACUUGGCUGGGACGCAACUGAGCAGGACUGGAAUACAGUUCAGCCAGACUCCAAACAAAGCUCUCCAUCUUACAAAAAAAAAAAAAAAAAAA